GGGCCGGCCCGUGGGGGACUCUUCUCUUGACAGCACCAGGACAGGAAGAGUGGUUCUGAGAGGACCCAACGUGGCCCGACAUCUCAAGGUGCU